AAAUCGCAUUUAAAUUAAAUUAUUAAAAAAUUCAAAAACCAAAUCCAGAAAGUUUCAGUAAACUCUCGUAUAAAUAUCUUACUCCCUCCCUGACAAGACUUUUUCACCGUUAUUGCUAUCACAUUGUGAGCACAGUGAUUCAAUUAUUUUCUCUAUUCUUUUAUGUUUGUUUUUUUGGAUUGCGAAGAUAUUUUCCAAUUUUCAGAUUGCAUGAUGUAUUAUGAUUGAAUGAGGCCUGUUCUUUUGGUAUGGAACAAGCUAGGGAGGAAAUGGAUGCAAAUAGUGUAGCAAGGGCUGCAGAACUGAAGAGAAAAGGUCUUGAUGCUCCAUUGAUGAAAUCAGAGGGUCACUAUAUGUUAGGAUCACCAAUGAAGUACGUAUCUAGUGGUGGUGAUUGGCCCAAAACCUUACCCCAUGUCUACACCAAUAUGUUAGGGGGUAGUGGUUUAAAUAGAAGUAUAACAUCCUUUGAUGGAUCUGAACCGGUGUGUACUAGUCCUUCCUCUAUGAAGGAUCCUGGACUUACAGUCGAAGAACUUACUGUGAGAAACUAUAAGACCACAAAUUUGUCUUCAGUUAGUAGUUCAAAUAGUAGAGAGGGAAUGCGUCCUAGGCAGAGUCAGUGGCAUCAUCUAUACCAGCUCGCAAGUGGGUCAAGAAAUAAGAUGACACCAAAUGUCAGGGAGGAUUUGACUGGAAUGACUUCUGAAAUUUGGGAUUUAAAACCUUUGUUGAGUAAGCAAACCAAAGAAAUUUCUGCUCAGUUUACUGGUAGUGACAACAAGAUCAUGUCAAGCAAUAAACUGCCUUUUGGGCAUGCACAAUCAAAGAUAUUAUCUGCAUCUAGCUCUCAUGAGGCUUUUGUGAAAAAAACCUUAAAUAGCAAAGGGAUUGUUUGUAAAGGUGCAGAAGCUCAUACCGGAUUUGACAUUUCAUUCAUGGGCCAGAAUACUGAAAAACAGGCUCCUGUUGCAUUGUUGAACUCAAGUGCUAGCAUGGGGGUUGUUUGUAGAAAUAUGGAAGCUUGCAGUGAAUCUGGUGUUUCAGCCAUGAACCAGAAUAAUGAAAAACCAGCUUGUGUUGCAUUGUUGAAUUCAAAUACAAACCAUGACCAGCAUUCUUCGCAUAGUGCUGAUAAGGCCAAUCAUGAAUCUUUUGAUGAAGGAAUCAGCUUGAGAGAUAGGCUGAAACCAGGAGGUAGUACAUUAAAUAAAGUUGAGAGCAUGCAUUUGUUUAAGCAGAUUGUGGAGUUAGUGGAUUUUGCCCAUUCUCGUGGAGUUGCUUUACGUGAUUUACACCCAGCCUGUUUCACUUUGUUGCCAUCAAAUAGGAUUAAAUACACUGGAUCAUCAGCUCAGAGAGAAUUAGACACUGUUGUAUGUCAGAAUAUGAAUAAGAAGAGGUCAUUACAACAGGAUAUGGUACCUUCCAGUAGUUUGGGUGCAAAGCAGCCAAAGCUGAGGGACGAUGUGAACUCAUUAAAAAACCAAUCUCAGUUAACCCUUAAUCAUGGUUUGAGAAGUGGAAGUGUGAGUCAUACUGAUAUUCAUAUUACUGGUCAAGAUUCUGAUUGUGCUGAACACAUGGUUGGAAAUGUUUCCGGCUACCAAAGUACUUCUAUUGCAACACAGCAGCGGUUAAUUUCUUUAAAUGUCCAUUUGCAAGACAAGUGGUAUGCUAGCCCAGAGGAGCUCAUUGAUGGGAUUUGCACAUGUUCCUCAAAUAUCUACAGUCUUGGGGUUCUUUUAUUUGAGCUGCUAUGCUCUUUUGAAUCAUCAGAGAUGCUCUUCGCAGCAAUGAUGGAAUUGCGCCAACGUAUCCUUCCUCCAAAUUUUCUUUCAGAAAAUCCAAAGGAAGCUGGCUUUUGUCUUUGGUUACUUCACCCUGAGCCUUCAUCGCGUCCAACCACAAGGGAAAUCCUGCAUUCUGACUUAAUUUGUGGAGGAUCUCAAGAAUUGUAUUCAAGAGAUGAGUUUCCAUUAUCUGCUGAUGAUGAUGAUACUGAGUCGGAGUUAUUACUUUACUUUCUUACUUCAUUGAAAGAACAAAAGGAGAAGCAUGCCUCCAAGUUGGUGCAAGAUAUAGCAUGCCUAGAAGCAGAUCUUAAGGAGGUUGAGACAAGGAAUUUAUUCAGGACGUCCUCCACUGUUUCUUGUACACAUACUGACUUUCCCCAUGGAAGAGGAAAACAGGGCCUUUGUCCUGAAGAUCCUCUGAAUUCCAGUGUUCAUUAUAAAUCCAUCCCAGGCUCAAAUGUAAAUGAGGCAAUAUUGAUGAAAAAUAUCAGGCAGCUUGAGAGUGCAUAUUUCUCACUGAGAUCCAAAAUUGGGCUUUCGGAAACUAAUGUGGCAGAACGCCCAGAUAAGGAUUUGCUGAAGAACCGUGAUAAGUUGACUCAAGUGCAAAAUGAGAAUGAGGAGUUGAGCAUGAAUCAGAAGCCUAAGGAUCGGAUUGGAGCUUUUUUUGAAGGUUUAUGUAAGUUUGCUCGCUAUGGUAAGUUUGAAGUGCGUGGGACAUUGAGAAAUGGAGAUCUCCUCAACUCCGCAAAUGUAACUUGUUCUUUGAGUUUUGACCGUGACCAGGACUACAUUGCAGCAGCUGGUGUGUCAAAGAAAAUCAAGAUUUUUGAGUUUGAUGCACUAUUGAAUGACUCUGUUGAUAUUCAUUAUCCUGUGGUUGAGAUGUCAAACAAAUCUAAGCUUAGCUGUGUUUGCUGGAACAACUACAUCAAGAACUAUUUGGCUUCAACUGAUUAUGAUGGCGUGGUUCAGAUGUGGGAUGCAAGCACUGGUGAAGGAUUUUCCCAGUACACAGAACACCAAAAAAGGGCUUGGUCUGUAGACUUUUCUCCAGUUGACCCAACAAAGUUUGCCAGUGGAAGUGAUGAUUGUUCUGUGAAACUUUGGCAUAUUAAUGAGAGAAAUUCUACCAGCACUAUCUGGAACCCUGCUAAUGUGUGCUGUGUUCAGUUCUCUGCUUACUCUACUCAUCUGCUGGUUUUUGGAUCUGCCGAUUACAAGAUCUAUGGCUAUGAUCUUCGGCACACUAGAAUCCCUUGGUGCGUUUUAGCUGGCCACCAGAAAGCUGUCAGCUAUGUGAAAUUUUUAGAUUCAGAAACUCUUGUUUCUGCAUCCACGGACAACACUCUAAAGCUUUGGGAUCUCAACAAAACCAACUUAGAUGGGUUAUCCUCCAAUGCUUGCACCUUAACCUUUACUGGUCAUACUAAUGAGAAGAAUUUUGUGGGUUUAUCUGUUUUGGACGGAUACAUAGCAUGCGGUUCAGAAACUAAUGAGGUCUAUACUUAUCAUAGAUCUCUACCAAUGCCUGUCACUUCUCACAAAUUUGGAUCCAUUGAUCCUAUUACUGAGCAUGAGAUUGUUGAUGAUAACGGACAGUUUGUUUCAAGUGUCUGUUGGAGACAGAAUUCGAACAUGGUCGUUGCUGCAAACUCAAGUGGAAGGAUAAAAUUAUUGCAGCUGGUGUGAAAUAAAGCUCAAUCUGUCUUUAUUCAUCCUGAACCAGAUUUUAUUCCUUGCAAGUUUCUUCACCAAUUGGCUGUCACAAAGAUUUACCUUUAUGUCUUCUUAGGGCGGACAAUGACUGACUACAGGAAUUUGACAGAUUGAAGACAAAGAAGGGGAACUGAGUUCACAUGGAGCCCUCAGUUGCAUAUUGUGUCAGUUUGUGUGGGGUUUAUGGCUUUCAAAAAGCUAAUAAAAUCAAUUGAAUUUUCUGACUCAAGCAGUUGCACCCUGUGAAUCUCUGGGCUGAUGCUAAUCCUGCAAAAAUGGAUUGAUUCAUUUCAGUUCCCCAUGUUACAUUUGUUCAACUGAGAAAAAUCGGAACUGGCAAGAAUUUGGCUACAUGUGUGCAUGACUGAGAAUAACCAAGGCAGCAUGGUUGCCAAAAUCAUGUUUGUCACUGAGGCAUGGUCACAGCCCUUCUCGACAAGUUCACCACCAAACCAGGCUGAUACUAGAUGUAAGAUGGAUGAGCUGGUAGUAAUGAUAGCUUCUUAAGGAGUGCCUAUCCUCUACAAAUUACAUCAAUAAAUUGAUAAAAGAAGAACUAUCACAGUACUUUGCAAUCCAUUUUAAGGAGUGCAGCUACUUCUGUGAGUGCUCCUCAGAACUGGACAUCAGUGGGUCCAAGUUUCAGAAGAAACUGAAGGCUUCUUUUCAGUCAUGGGUGGGGGUGGAUCAUCAAUUAUGGUCAGAGGCUCAUCUCCACAGUGGAUCAGAACUUCUCCAUGAGGGUAUCGUCUUCAGAAGCCCUGCCUCAAUGUCACAGAAAUCAACAAGUGGCACUGGGGCAUCUGGCUGGCUGUGAUCAGGGUUCAUAGCUAGGAACCAUUUCGUAUACCUAAGAAUCCUACAGAUGGAUGAGAAGCUUGGCCGCUGAUUCGGGUCAGUAUGCCAACAUUUCUUUGUCAAGUUUGUUAUGUAUUUUGGUGAAUUGGAUGGGAAAAGGGGCCUCUCCCCUGCCCUAAUAUUUCGACUCAUCUUAUCUCCUUGAAGAUGGCUAUCCUCAAAAGGGACUUUCCCAGUCAAGAGUUCAAAACAAACCAUUCCAAAACUGUACACAUCUGCCUUCUCUGUGUACUUGAAAUUCCCAGUUUUACCCAGCUGUUCUUGAUCUGCUAGAACUUCUGGAGCAUGCCAUAUAAACGGGAGAUUCACAGCUUGAUUUGGAGAAGUUUUCUGGUUUAAGUUUUUAGUGGAAGAUAAACCGAACCCUGAAACUUUGGCAUGCAAAUACCCUUCUGUGGAGAUGCUCCUUGCUUUAACAAGAAUGUUAGAAGGAUUUAGAUCCCCAUGGUAGAUUUUCUUUGAGUGGAGAUACUCCAUUCCUCUUGCAACUUGAAGCAUAAGAUCAACUGCAACAGGAAGAGAAAAUGGAAGUCUCCUCCUUGGUCCACAUAUCUCCUUGAGAUGGCUGCAGAGAUCUUUAUACAUUAGUUCCAUAACCAAAAAACACUCUCUCUUUUCCUCAUCAAUGAACCCACAAAGUAAGCGCAUUAUAUUCGGGUGGGAGAGGGACAAGAGUUGGGAUAUUUCAGGGACAAGAGGCUCAAUCUCCCCGUAGAAGUGUCUUAAAGCAAAGCUUUCACCCAACCACAUGAUCUCCUUGUACUGGCUCCCGCUCCCUAGCCGCCGCCUCACCUGGUAGUCCUUAGAGCCCAGUAGGAUUGAACUCGGUAGGAGCUUCCCAUUCAAAGGCUGUGACACAUCCAAGUUCUUGAAAAGGAGAUCCCUGAGUCGUUGUUCAUACUUUGUUAAGCUCACUGAACCUGAAGGUCUCUUCCCUUGGAUUUUGUUGAGGAGAAUCCACCUAUCUUCUCUCCAAACUUCAUCUACCCGGCUGCAGAAGUCCUUAGAGAUCAAAUACUGCUUCCCGAAUCUCCAUUGAAAGAGUUUCGGGUCUUGCCAUUCUUUCUGAUACUUCGUGGAGAACAAUACCCUCUUCUUCUGUAUCUCAUCCUGGUCCCAACCCGAGUUUUCUCCUGCAAUUUCAAUGGCUUCAAUGACCACUGGAAAGCAGCAGAGCAAGUUAUGGAUGUGAAACUCAACGCUGUCCGUGUUCUGAUAGAAUAUAAUGGCUUUAGCCCACCAUUCUUUCGUGUCCAAACACUGUCUUACGUAGUGUUCUCCUUCUUUGAAUACCCCGUGCAACUCCCUCAGGGGCUGUUCAAGAAUUUUCCAUUUUGUAUGCUUCUCGUCUAAUCGAAGAUUCUGCUUCAUCUCUUCUGCUACUGUGUGAUAAGCCAAGUCGAGAACAUCCAGCAACAAACAGCAUUGCCUCUGGUUGAUCUGAAUAUCUUCCCGGAACACCAUAAAUGCCUUCAAACUCCCCAAAACCUCUCCCAUUUGCCUGAAUUGCUCCAUCGCUGAACCUGAAAAUUUACCUCCAAAUGUCAUGAAAGAUUAGCAGACAUUAGAAACAAACAUAGAUGCGGGGAUGAAGAUGAAGAUGAAAAAGUUACCAACCGAGGAAUGGUGGGAAAAAUGGUAACCGGCGAAAAAAGGAGGCCUGAGAAACUGAGCUUUAAUGAGAGUUUGGAUUAUAAAAAAUCAGCAAGUGGGUGCCCGAGAAAAUGUGAAUUCCUAUCAAAUUCUCACGAACCCAGCAGGAAUUCAGCAGAAUCGAAGCUACCCGCCUCUAUUUCCUCAGCCAAAUUCCCGAACAAACAGAAAGAGACCGGAGUUUGAUAACCAGGAAUCACUCAAAAAGGUUGAUUGCCAACAAAAGUUUGGAAACAACUGCAAGCAAAUCACAAGAAACUGAUUCCUGGGAAAUUCUAGCAUCACCGGGAGACCGAUGGAAGCUAGAGUUUUCCCAGGAAAUUUUUCAUAGACUGUUUGGGAAUUGUUGAGAAGUUUUUGAAAAAGGAAAUGCAAACCAAACAUUUGUUAUCUUUGUUCGUAUUGGUGGCUAUGGCCGUUGAUAAUCCGCUUUCUUUGCAGUUUCAAUGUAUAAGAUUUCCCGCGAGUUUAGAUGUUGUUGUUCUGAGAUUGGUGAUUCAUAGUCAGACAUGCAUGUUAACCGUUUUAACUGA